GAUCCCUGGCUCAGGACGAACGCUGGCGGCGUGCUUAAUACAUGCAAGUCGAGCGAAUCGAUGGGAGCUUGCUCCCUGAGAUUAGCGGCGGACGGGUGAGUAACACGUGGGCAACCUGCCUAUAAGACUGGGAUAACUUCGGGAAACCGGAGCUAAUACCGGAUACGUUCUUUUCUCGCAUGAGAGAAGAUGGAAAGACGGUUUUGCUGUCACUUAUAGAUGGGCCCGCGGCGCAUUAGCUAGUUGGUGAGGUAAUGGCUCACCAAGGCGACGAUGCGUAGCCGACCUGAGAGGGUGAUCGGCCACACUGGGACUGAGACACGGCCCAGACUCCUACGGGAGGCAGCAGUAGGGAAUCUUCCGCAAUGGACGAAAGUCUGACGGAGCAACGCCGCGUGAACGAAGAAGGCCUUCGGGUCGUAAAGUUCUGUUGUUAGGGAAGAACAAGUACCAGAGUAACUGCUGGUACCUUGACGGUACCUAACCAGAAAGCCACGGCUAACUA
rnacentral:rRNA from 1 species